UAGGUAGAAAGGGCCCCUGUCUGUCUCAGCUGUAAUACCAGUCCAGGGGAGGGCACUAGGUAGAAAGGGCCCCCUGUCUGUCUCAGCUGUAAUACCAGUCCAGGGGAGGGCACUAGGUAGAAAGGGCCCCCUGUCUGUCUCAGCUGUAAUGCCAGUCCAGGGGAGGGUACUAGGUAGAAAGGGCCCCCUGUCUGUCUCAGCUGUAAUACCAGUCCAGGGAGGGUACUAGGUAGAAAGGGCCCCCUGUCUGUCUCAGUUAUAAUACCAGUCCAGGGGAGGGUACUAGGUAGAAAGGGCCCCCUGUCUGUCUCAGUUAUAAUACCAGUCCAGGGGAGGGUACUAGGUAGUUACAGACAGACAAGUUGUAAGUUGUGUAGUCCAGGACAGGUCAGUUACAGACAGACAGGUUGUGUAGUCUAGGACAGGUCAGUUCCACUAGGAGAUAGAUGGUUACAGACAGACAGGUCAGUUCCACUAGGAGAUAGAUGGUGACAGACAGACAGGUCAGUUCCACUAGGAGAUAGAUGGUGACAGACAGACAGGUCAGUUCCACUAGGAGAUAGAUGGUGACAGACAGACAGGUCAG